rnacentral:lncRNA from 1 species
UAUGCCUUGAUAUGUCCGAUCUUGCCACAGUAAUAGCACUCUCGUCUUUUUCGCAGUUUGGUGACAGAUCUUUGAUCUUCAGGCCGGUUGUAUCCUGAUGAAACAAACUUGAUUUCAUCUGAGCUCUUCUGUUCCCUUCCACUGUACCCCAAUCCAUGCUUUGUAUUGGCUUGACAUCCGUAGCUCAGGAUCUUGUCUAGUUGCUUGGUUCCUGCGAACAUCUGAAUCUGCUUCUUUAGCUGAUCUAGUUCAGACUCCAGCUUCUCCGAUAUCUGCUUUUCAACCUUUAAAUGCUGCCUCAGACCUUCAGCUUUGUUGGCUAACUCCAG